UGAGGAAAUUGUGGAGAGGGAGGAGAAGAAUGGAGCUAAGGAGGAGGAAACAUCCACACAUCCUAUGUGCAAUGGAGAGAAGAUGGACGGGGAGAAGAAGAGUACCGGAAGUAGAGCCAAUGGGGUUCAGUAGGAACUUCUGCGGAAAAAGUCGUGGGUUCUUAUUAGCAUAAUUUUACGCAUCGCAGGAUAACCUAUACCAGCUUUUAUAUAUAUAUAUAUAUAUAUAGCUCUGAUCCUCUACUAUGCAACGCAUGAAGCGGUGCCCAGCACAUCAUUCAUCGUGCGAUGGAUAGUCACGUGCGGAUUCACGCUCAUGGCAUGUGGCCGUACAUGACCGUUCAUCGCACGAUGGAUGGGGUGCGCUAUGCAUCGCAUGGUGCGGUAAAAGAUUCACGCAGAUAUAUAUUUUCUAUUAAGAUAAUCCUAUAUCAAUCGUAAUAUUUUCUUUCGUUGGUGUAAUUCUGUGUUAGCCCAUAAUAUUUUUCUUAUGUGGAGUCUAUAGCAAAUAAAACUCAUGAGAUGUAUUAAAUGUGAUGGGAUAGAAAUAUAUAGUAUCUUUUCUCUAUCUUUUUCUCUG
rnacentral:lncRNA from 1 species